UCCCUGCUGGUUCAGUGGUUAGGACGCCAUACUUUCACUGCUGAGGGCCCAGGUUCAAUUCCUGGUUAAGGAA